rnacentral:tRNA from 1 species
AACGACGAGUCGAGCCGGCGCCUCGGAGCGCCCACACAAGUUAUCUCAGCGCGGGUCUGCGGGCCCGAGACACACCUCUUGGGUCUGUAGCUCAGUCGGUUAGAGCGCACCCCUGAUAAGGGUGAGGUCGCUGGUUCAACUCCAGCCAGACCCACCAAUGACGGGGCCAUAGCUCAGCUGGGAGAGCGCCUGCCUUGCACGCAGGAGGUCGGGAGUUCGAUCCUCCCUGGCUCCACCAUUCAGGCGGCCCGAGACACGCGGGGCCAAGCGCUCACGACUUGCAGGUGCGAGUCGUGAGCGCUUUGCCUCUGGGUGAAGCAGCUCUUUAACAACACGGUGAGAUCGCGGAAGGCGCCAGCUCGGCGCGAGCCGAGCGGGAUGCGUACGAUGUCAGCACAUUGAACCCCAAAGUCCUUGGGGUUAUAU